GUUGUGGCUCAGUGGUAGAGUGCCUGCCUAGCAUAUGUGAGACACUGGGUUCAAGUCUCAGCACACA
rnacentral:tRNA from 1 species